GACAGAGGGUGCAAACGUUGUUCGGAAUUACUGGGCGUAAAGCGUGUGUAGGCGGUCCGAUAAGUCGGGUGUGAAAGCCCUGGGCUCAACCCAGGAAGUGCACUCGAAACUGCCGGGCUAGAGUAUCGGAGAGGUUGGUGGAAUUCUCGGUGUAGAGGUGAAAUUCGUAGAUAUCGAGAGGAACACCGGUGGCGAAGGCGGCCAACUGGACGAAUACUGACGCUGAGACACGAAAGCGUGGGGAGCAAACAGG
rnacentral:rRNA from 1 species